UAUUUUUUAUAAUGUAAAGGUGCUCAUAUUGAGCCUAACAGGGAACUCCGUGUAAAUCGGAGACGGGCCCGCCGCUGUAACCGGGGACAAACGCUUUAUAAUGUCACUGUUCAACUGUUGAAUGGGAAGACGAAGCAAUUAGGAUGAUCCGGAAGUCAGAAGACCUGCCUAAACAUAGAUAAAAAG
rnacentral:ncRNA from 2 species